rnacentral:rRNA from 1 species
UACGAAGGGGGGCUAGCGUUGCUCGGAAUCACUGGGCGUAAAGGGCGCGUAGGCGGCCAUUCAAGUCGGGGGUGAAAGCCUGUGGCUCAACCACAGAAUUGCCUUCGAUACUGUUUGGCUUGAGUAUGGUAGAGGUCGGUGGAACUGCGAGUGUAGAGGUGAAAUUCGUAGAUAUUCGCAAGAACACCGGUGGCGAAGGCG